rnacentral:rRNA from 1 species
AGUUUUUUUUAAUUAAUAAAAGAUAUAAUCUGCCCAUUGAAAUAUAUUUUUAAAAGGCCGCAGUAUUUUGACUGUGCAAAGGUAGCAUAAUCAUUAGAUUUUUAAUUGAAAUCUGGAAUGAAUGGUUAAAUGAAAUAAAAUCUUUUUUAAUUUUAAUAUUUGAAUUUUAUUUAUAAGUAAAAAAUCUUAUUUUAAAAAAUGGGACGAGAAGACCCUAUAGAAUUUCAUAAAUAUUGAAUUAAUUAAUUAUUUUUAUUUAUUUAAUUAUUUAAUAAUUUAUUUUAUUGGGGAGAUAUUUAAAUUUAUUAAACUUUAAAUUAUAAAAAUCAUAAGUUAAUGUUAUUUUUGAUCUUUUUUUAAUGAUUAAAAAAAUAAAUUACCUUAGGGAUAACACCAUAAUAAUUUUAUUAAGGUUCUUAUUAAUGAAAGAGAUUAUGACCUCGAUGUUGAAUUAAAAUAAUUAUUAUAUGUAGGAGUAUAAUAAAUAAGUCUGUUCGACUUUUAAAUUUUUACAUGAUUUGAGUUCAAAUCGGUGUAAG